rnacentral:rRNA from 1 species
CAAUAGCGUAUAUUAAAGUUGUUGCGGCUAAAAAGCUCGUAGUUGGAUUUCUGCCGAGGACGACCGGUCCGCCCUCUGGGUGUGUAUCUGGUUUGGCCUGGGCAUCUUCUUGGAGAACGUAGCUGCACUUGACUGUGUGGUGCGGUGUCCAGGACUUUUACUUUGAGGAAAUUAGAGUGUUUCAAGCAGGCACACGCCUUGAAUACAUUAGCAUGGAAUAAUAAGAUAGGACCUCGGUUCUAUUUUGUUGGUUUCUAGAGCUGAGGUAAUGAUUAAUAGGGAUAGUUGGGGGCAUUCGUAUUUAACUGUCAGAGGUGAAAUUCUUGGAUUUGUUAAAGACAGACUACUGCGAAAGCAUUUGCCAAGGAUGUUUUCAUUGA